GGGUUGUUGCGGGAUCUCACAGGCUUUAAACCGCGGCGCCGCGGCGCUCGGGUGUGGAUCCCUAGAUGGGAGCCGGGGAUGGGCCGGGUGCCUGGCGGGUGGCAGUCGGGGCCGACCGCCUCGGGCCCUGGACACCUUCACCCCGCCGCCUGCCCAGGCGGGCCGGCCCUGCCCGUCCACCGGCCGCGAGAGUCCCCGGCCUUGGGUCCCCGGGGCCGCUGACUGGCCUCGGUCACCUCCCGGGGAAGGCUCCCGCGCCUCCAUCUGCCCCCGCAGGAAGGGACCCUCUUCUCGCCCGCGAGGCUUCUCCGGGUGGGAUCGUCCUGGCCCCCAGCCCUAAGGGAUCCGCCCCCUCCGAGCAUCCGCCGCCCCUCGGAGACCACUCCAGCUCGGACGGAGCCACUCCAGCCCCCGCUGCACGCGGAAGCGCUCAUCCUCCCCGCCUGCCCCGUUCCCUCCCCCUUCUCCUGUGCGACAACCAGGGACCACAGCUCCCCGCUCCCCAGGUGUGGGGGCUCCGACACGAACGCCUCUGCUCGCAGGGCGGUGAGCGCAGAUCCCACGGGUCCCUCGGUCGGGGGUCGAGGCUGCUUCCGUUUCCAUCCCGGACCCGACAAUGGGCGGGAAAAAGAAGGCUUUACACGACUACGCGGCGGAGUUCACCGACCUGGUGGUGAAGCACCUGAUUGAGCACAGUGACUCUGGGGACACGUCUGUGGUGGAGACCCUUUACUGCAGGGCCUGCGAGCUGCCCGUGCGCGUGCGGAGGGACCGCAUCCUGGAACACCUGUCCUCGGGCAGGCAGCACGGCCUGCGGACGCCCAUUCUCAUGUAAAUGUCAGUGCCAACGCUGGUGUUUCAGGAGACAUCCCAGCGGGCUGCGGGCUAUUUUAGGAUUCUCUGCCCUGCAAACGUUUCCAAAGUGCGUGGACAGGCCGCCUGAUGACACUACGUUUACGGGAUCUGCUAGUGGCUUGCCUACUUAGGGAGUAAACCCUGUGAAGUCUCGCAGUUUUAUUAAAGUGUGCGUGGCCACCUGAAUGCUGCCUUAUCACAAGCCAGAUACAUACUGGUCUGCAGGGUAACUCCCCACUGUUGAUCCUCUGAGAUGAUUGUGGACUGGGUGCUGUGAGUCCUGCCACUUUGUUUAAGUGAAUGUGUCUUUUGUCCAGCUCAGCCGCCUCGGAUCUCGCUGCCACCAGCCUUACUGCACACCCGUGCCACCCGCCCUUGCCCCGUCAGCCUCAGCCUCAGCUCAUUCUCUCAGGCAGUCCCAGCAUUGGCACGGUACCUCCUCCCGCUGUGGGCCACACGUCUCUGCUCCCUGUCAACCCUACUGCCAUCAGCACCACCACCAGCGACUUGUCUGCCCAGGAGGAUGCAACACCAUCUGCCUCCACCGGCCACCUUUCAGUGUUUCCUGCUUUCCAAGUAAAGAUACCAGCAGUGCCCGCAGAGCAGACCAGCCAGAGAUUUUCUGAAGCCUCCCACAGGGUGCUCCCCGGAGGAGGCCCGAGAUGCUCUCGUGACUUUGGAGCCGGGGUGGCUGGCCACCUUGGCCUGGGCAUCUUUGGGAUGGGCUUCGGGAGCCCGGCACUGCUGCAGAGUGUGGUGGAUGAGAACAGCUGCUGCUUGCUGUACGUGGUGGAGGACCAGCUGUGUGAUGUGGAGCGAGCCUUCAGAGCUGAGCAUUUGGGCCAACACCAGAGUGGUUCGGGAACAGGAUGCAGACAUUGUCCUCAACGACCAGCGGCACUUUGAUCCGGUUUUCCAGUUCUUGCACAAGCAAGUUUUUGUCAGCCACGCCCUGGGGAGGAUCCACUGGAUCACCGCCGUCACAGCCUGUUCCCGGUGGCCUCUCCGGCUUCCCUAAAGAGAGCAGUAGCUUCCCUGGAGACCAGAAGCCAGAGCUCACCCUCCCUUGUGUCCAGGUGGGACUUUCUACAACGCUGCUAUGCACGACGCGGAUGCCGUAUGCAUGUUGCUGGGGGAAGCCACUCCGGACACUGUGUUUUCUCUGGGACAUGUCUUCUGCCCAGGUUGCAAAGGUGAAGAAACACAGUCCCGGCUGGAAGUCACAGCCAGGGUGGGAUGCACACAGAUUAGCAGAUCAUCAGCGAGCACCAGAUAUGGCCGCCUUAAAAGAUGCAGAUGCUGUUGUGAUCAGCAUGAAGUUUCCCUGUGAGGCUGUGGUCAGCGUGGACAUCAGCCAGCACUGCACAGACAGCUGCGACCAGGACGUCAGCCAGCACUGCACAGACAGCUGCAACCAGGACGUCAGCCAGCACUGCACAGACAGCUGCGACCAGGAUGUCAGCCAGCACUGCACAGACAGCUGCAACCAGAGACUGGAGGGAAAUAACCUCCUGAAAUCACCAAAGAGCAGUUCCUCAGGGCCUCCCGGGUGACCGUGGCUGUGGAGCAGUCGUGGUGGAACCGGUCAGAUGUGGACCUGCCCUGCGAAUCGGCAGAGGCCUCCGUGGUGAAGACAGAAGCUCCGUGAACCAACCCGAGGCUGGAGCCAAGAUCCUGCCGGAUAUCCAGUUGCCUGUUUCACUUGUUACUGUUACUGGGAGAGGGAGACAAAACCUCAUGGCGAUCUUGUCCUCACUGGAGACUCAGAAGGGGAAGCAUUGGGAAACCAUGUAUGUUUCAUUUCUGGUUUAACCAGGCUUUUCAGGAUGUGACUUCAGACCAAGGACACAAGUUGGGCUUGCUUAGGUGUUUUGUGUUGUGCGCAGGCCUCAGAGAUGCUCUUCCGGUCAGAGUUCCCUUGGCAGGGCCUUGGAGGCCUCUGGUUGGCUCUCUCAGGAAGAGGGCAGGUCAGGGAUUGGGCGCUGUAAAUUGACUCAGAAACCUGCGGUUUCAGCUUUUCUGUGGCAAACAGGGCCGAGGGCUGGUGAAGCUGUUAAGGCUAAAUGUCGCAUGCAUGAGGCGGGCUGCAGGCCUCCUUAGGCCUUUUUUGGGGUAAUUACACCAGUAUUUAAAAACAUUUUUUGUUUGUUUGUUUUGAGACGGAGUCUUGCCCUGUCACCCAGGCUGGAGUGCAAUGGUGCGAUCUCGGCUCACUGCAACCUCCGUCUCCCGGGUUCAAGCGAUUCUUCUGCCUCAGCCUUCUGAGUAGCUGGGAUUACACGCGUGUGCCACCACGCUCGGCUAAUUUUUGUAUUUUUAGUAGAGAUGGGAUUUCACCAUGUUGGCCAGGCUGGUCUCGAACUACUGACCUCGUGAUCCACCUGCCACGGCCUCCCAAAGUGCUGGGAUUACAGGCGUGAGCCACCAUGCUUGGCCUAAAAAACAAUUUUCUUGAAGAAUCCGAUUUGUGCAUAGUAAUGACACAGCACCAUUCCUGAGAAAUAGGAAAUAUAUGUGUGUGGUAUGAAAAGCCCAUAUUCUGUUCUUGUCACCUGAAUCUAAAGGCUUCCUCUUUGGAUGUGAACGCGGGAAUGAACAGUGGCUGUUUUCCACCCAAAGGGGCGUGGAGACCUUUUGGAAACGGGCUUUCUCCUUUCCAUUUUGCAGCUGGGGGCGGGUGGAAACCUUCCUUCGAAGGGUAGUGCCUUGGGGAGCAGCAGACCUGCUCUGAGUCCAGCUUAGCUUUCCAAAAUUCUGUGUGGAACUUACUGGAGAUGUUUUUAUAUAUUUGAAAAUAAUGGCCUGUAUUUCUCACGCUAUACUUAAAAAAAUAACUAACCUUUUAAACAAAGAUAUUCAAACUCA